CUGGCUAUGUAGAAAUAAACGGGUAUAACGGGGAUAUUUUUAUGCCGGAGUUAAAUGUACACUACUUAUAGUGAAUAUUUUUGAUGGAUUACUCACAUAUUUUAUAUGAUUUAGGAUUAUUUCACAAUGCUACUGUAGGUUAGUAACUUUGACUAGAUAUUUUUCUAUUUCUAUUAUGGGUUCAUGUUUAAUGUGAGCAUCUGCCCAAAACUAUACACUAAAGCACAAAAGGCAAUGGAUUUGCUGUAUAUCAAAACUAAAAGAAAUACUGGAAAUACUGGAUGGAUUUGAUGGACUCAUGCUUAUCAAUUUUUAUGACCAUUCAAUCUGUGAAUAUUUCGGCUUGUAUGGUCAUGAAAAAAUAGUCGCACUGUCACGCUUUGGUUAGAGAGCCCACCAUGUGAUCAAUGACGUUUCAAUCUUGAUGAGAAGGGAUGCACAUUCCCGAAUGCAUCCUUCCUCAUGAUAUGUUGAGUUAAACAUGUUCAUUGCACAUAAAAAUGUCACAGAAAGAGAUGCAGUGCCAAAUACCGACCGCAUGCAGUGCGCGAGCAUGACUAAACAUGUGGUAUUUGAACAUAUGGUAUUUAAACAUGUGGUAUUUAAACAUGUGGCAUUUAAACAUGUGGCAUUUAAACAUGUGGUAUUUGAACAUAUGGUAUUUAAACAUGUGGUAUUCAAACAUGUGGCAUUUAAACAUGUGGUAUUUAAACAUUUGGUAUUUGAACAUGUGGUAUUUAAACAUGUGGUAUUUAAACAUGUGGUAUUUCCAGAAGACAUUUAAUUCGGCUUUGCAAGACACUGUGCUUGGUAUUUCGUAAACUAACAUUAUAUAGCAAGCACGACAUUAACUGUUCAAUAAAACAGCGUUCAUGUACAUAAAUUGUGUGAACUCAAAUCAUGAAGUAUACGAUUUUCUGUCAUUCUUGGUUUGGUCGUUGAAGAGAUAAGACGUAUUUUUUGUGCUCUCGACGUCGCGCUCAGUAUAUAAAUUGAACUGCGCGGGCAAAAAAACGCUCAGUUGACCAAUAGACUUUGACAAAGACAGACGUUAAUUUUGUGAUCUCUGAAAAAAAUUUGACAUGAUUUUUUUUUAUGAUGACUAUGUCUCAGUUGACUUUUGAACGUUAACGAAUAUGAACGUACUUUCGUGAGCUCUGACUACAGUAUCGAUGAAAAGUUUUGAGUUUAACUGACUUGACUUCGCGUUAUAGAAUAGCGACUUGGUACUCGGGUUAUUGAAUGACUGGUGGACUGUAGUGUUAGGUUAUUGUCAUGAGAUAACAACUUGACUUUGACUUGAGUUGUGUGCAAUUAAAUUUGUGUUGGGGUGUCAAGCGAUUGACUUCACUUGAACUCUGGACGUCGGAGUGAUCAGAUGUGUUUUUGAAGCUGGUGUCUACGAAAACGUGAGUACAAACUUUUGUGUUUGACUGUUGACGUGUCUCACUGUGUAUGAUGAUUUAUGAUGAUUUAAAGCGGCUGGCGUAUUAUUGUUGAGUUGUUGUACUGAUAGAGAAGUGAAAUGCGUUGGGUAUAAAUUACUCAGUACUUAUACAGUGUCGAUAAUAUGGUGUGAUGAGAGAUGAUGGUGUUACAAAAUAUUUACUGAGCUACUUUGGGAAACGAACCGAUGAUGUAAAAACAUUGGAAACAUAUUUCAUGAAAAUGCAUGUGCUUAUAUGUACUAAAUAUGAUAUUGCUUUACUUGUAUUUGCAUGUCGUUAACAUUUCUAUUUUAUUUCAGUAUGCUGUGGUGAGUAUUGCAGAUUUAACUUGUAUGUGUGGUUUUUAGUUAACGAUGCUUAAUGAAAACUAUUAUUGUACACUUAGUAUGGAAUGAUGUGAAUGAUGAUAUGAUGGGUAGAAUUAAUCAGUGCUUGUGUCUAGAAAUGCUGAAUGUUUAUUGAAAAGGCUAAAUGCUAGCCAAAACUAACAGUUGAGCUACCGUGGGGAUGUCAAACGAAUUGAUGGUGUAAUAUGAUGGUGUAUCGACAUACUUUUCUUAUAUGCACUAUAUUUGAUACAUGUAUUGGUUUACAUUUUUUGCAUGCUGUUACAGUUUUUGUUUCAGUGUGCUGUGGUAAGUACUGUAGAUAUUACUUGAUUUUUAGUGUCUAUGAAUGCUGAUGUAUGAUAGCUAUAGCAUGAGCUCAAUGCUAACCAGUAUUAUGAGUUGAUGUAUUGUGGUGAUGCUAAUCGAACUGAUGAUGUAACAUGAUGGUGAACACUUACUGAAUGCAUACAAUUUAUUGAAUUGCGUUUGUUGAUAUGCACUAUAAUAUGAUUAAUGUAUUGCUUGACAUGUAUUUUUCAUGAUGUUUAAUUUCAGUUUGCUGUGGUGAGUACUGUAGAUUGUAUUGCCUAUGUAUAGAAUUCAAUAAAAGAUUAUGACUGAAAACUGCUUUUGAUUCUUUUUGUACAGUUUUAGGGACUAUAAGUCUAUAACAAAAAUAUGUCGGUUUAUGUUCAUGAGUGUGGGCUUAAUACAGCAAUGUUUGAGUAGUACAGAAAUGUUUCUUCGUUUGUGGUCGCCAGUUGUCUGUGACUUGUAAAGUGAAAAAUACGCAUAGCUUUGAAUGCAACAACUAUUUACUGUUUUAACAAAGAUUGUGUACUAUGCAUGUUUUGAUGUAGAUCUUUUCAGAUUUGACAUAAAAUGAAGACCUGUCAGUUUAACAGAGCUGGGAAACGAUGAGGUAAGUGUGUUUCAUCUUACUAUGAACACUGGUAUUUUGACAAAAGAAGAGAUAAAGUGAGUUUCUUCAUUAUCAUGGUUUCUUUCAGAGUAUAACUUAUGAACAAAUCAAAACCUAUUUUUUACUAGAUUUUCAUGUACUCUUUUUUUGGAUGAUGAGUAACUUAAAAUCAUACGGCUAGUACAGUAUGGAACAUGAAUGCUUUGUUCAGAUUUUCAGAUGUGUGCUGGCAGUUCAAGUCUGGCAGCUGAAGUGAACAGUCAUGAUUUUGUUGGAGCUCCAACAAUAUGCUAGAAGGUAAGUAACUAUGUUUAAUUUGCAUUGCAUGUUUUCCUAUGUUUCAGACUUUUAAACAGAGAUGUCAUGAUGACUGGAGUUGAGCACAGGGCAGUGAUAAAGUAAAAGGUAAGUACUUUUGACUGAAUGUUUGUUCUAUGCAUGUUUUGCUAUAAUACAUUCCAGGAGUGCUUAUGCAGUGAUGAUUUGACAGUUGAGUGAAAGUGGAGCCAUGCAGUCUUGAUUUUGAAGCUUCUCAACAAGCCUUGAAGGUAAGGUUAGAAUGACUCAAUGUUAGUGAAUUAUUUAAAAAAAUAUACUGUCAGUGAAGUACUGUCAGUUGCAUUUGGACAGUUGAGCAGAACAGACGUAGCUGUAAGAGCUCUCAUAUCUGUUGUGUAAAACUGUCCUAAUGAUAUGUUAUGCUUGUUUGUUUCUGUUGUACUAUUUUUCAGAUACGUUUGGCAGUGAAGGAUUGAAAGCUGACAUGAACAGAAAAAAGAUGCUGUUGGCAGUGAUGGGUUUGGAAGCUGGCAUGAACAGAAAAGCAAACAUAUGGUGAGUACAAAAUAGUUUUUAUAUGGUAUGUUUUGUGCAUGCUUCUAUGUUUCAGAUGUACUUGCAGUCAACAACGAAGAUGAUUCAAGAAGAGAAACAUUGUUGUGAUGUGAAUAGAACGUUCAAAUAGGGUAAGUGUAACAAUUGUGGUAGUUUGAUUUGUACCAUGUGUGUAUUGCUAUGUUUCAGAUUGCACAUGCAGAGAUGGUUUCCUACUGGGUGUCAAUAGAAGGGACACGAGUAAAAACGAUUUCAACUGCUAAACCACAAUUCAAGAAGUUGGGUAAGUUUUAAGUCAUUGAUUUGAGGUGUACAAUGUGUUCUUUACUUUGUUGCAGAUUCGAGUCACUGGUUUACACAUGGAAGAAGAUUUCCACCUCUGUGACACAUCUUUACAAAAGCAAGUAGAGGGCCAGAUGUCGAGCAGUACAGAUGUGUUUCUUGGAGGGAGCUCCCAAACCGUGAGUACAAGUAUUUGAUAUUUAGAAGUCUAUGUGAAAGAUAAUAGCAAUGGUAGAAUCUAUCAGUACUUGUGUUUAGAAAUGCUGAUGUGUGACGGUUAACUGAAAAGGGUAAAUGCUAGCCAGUACUUACACCUGAGCAAACGUGGGAUGUCGAACUAACUGAUGAUGUACUAUGAUGGUGAACACUUACUUUGUGUAUCGAAAUGCUUUUGUUGAUAUGAGUGUGAGCUUAAUACAGCAAUGUUUGAGUAAUACAAAAAAUGUAUGUACUCUUUUGUGGUCGCCAGUUGUCUGUGAUAUGUAUAGUAAAAAAAACACAACACAAAGCUAUGAAGCAUACAAUUGUUUUAAGAUUUUAUCAAUGAUUGUGUACUAUGCAUGUUUUGAUUUAGUUCGUUUCAGAUAUGACAUGACCUGAAUAUUUGACAGUCGAACGGAGCUGAGCAUUGCAGAAAAGGUCUCAUAGUAGCCUCAACAGUGAAUAAGGAUAUCAACUGCUGUGACUAAACUGUUGAAGAAGGGUAAGUGGAACAAUGUGUUUGUUUUAUAAGUACCAUGUAUGCUUUAUUUUGCUCUGUUUCAGAGUAGACAUACAAACAGUGUCUUGCUUUGCAUGCUAUUUUUUAGGUCUCUCAUGCAGUGAGGGAAAAGAAGAAGAUUUCAAUAAAGAAUCACUGCUGCAACUCAGCUCUUUAAACAAGGUAAGUGUUUACUAUGUUGUAUACAAAAUGUUUCUCUUUCUUACUAUGUUUCAGGUUAACAUUGCAGAGAUGUUUUGACAGCUUGUGACAGAAAAGAAAUUCAGCAGCUGUGUCUUGACUGUAGCCACAAGGUAAGUCGAAACAAAUAUACUGGUUUGUAUGUUGUGUUGUUAUGCCCUUCUAUGUUUCAGACUUACAUUGCUGUGACUGUUCCACAGUGGGUCAAAAAAAGACGAAUACAGGUUUCAAGAAGAAAAUUGGCUGUUAAAACUCUGCACAAAAUAUGAGGUAAGUGAACUACUCUUUUGGUUUGUGUUGUGCUUUGUUCUGCUUAACUAUUUUUCAGAUUUGAGUGGUGGGUCGUUACAGAGCAGACUUUUUGACAAGUGAGAAGUUGAGAAACAGAGAAUGAUUUAAGAUCAGCUAGGUAAGUCUUGAUUAUUAUGCAUUGCUAAAUGUUGUUUUUUAUUUCAGUAUGGCUGUGGUAAGUACACUAACUUUCUAUAAUUUAAUAUUGAACUGCUUUGAUAACUUGUAUCCUGCUAUGCAAUGCUUAAUAUAUAUUUUUCAUUUCAGUAUGGCUGUGGUAAGUACACAAACUUUCUUUAAUUUUCACAUUGAACUGUUUUGAUGACUUGUAUCCUGCUAUGCAAAAUGUCUUUUUUUUAUUUCAGUAGCCUGUUGGUAAGUACGCUAACUUUCUAUAAUUUCAUAGUGAAUUGUUUUGAUGACCUGUAUUCUGCAUUGUAAAAUGUGUUUCUUUUUCAUUUCAGUAUGGCUGUGGUAAGUACAAUUGCCUUUCAUAUUGAACUGUUUUGAUGACCUGUAUUUUGCAUUGUAAAAUGUGUUUCUUUUUCAUUUCAGUAUGGCUGUGGUAAGUACACAAACUUUCUUUAAUUUUCAUAUUGAACUGUUUUGAUGACUUGUAUUCUGCUAUACAAAAUGUGUUUUUAUCAGUUCAGUUGCCUGAUGGUAAGUACAAUUUGCUUCUUUAAAUUGCAUGUUAAAAUAUAUUUGAUGACUUUUGUUCUGCUAUGCUCUUUUUCAUUUCAGUUGGGCAGAUGUAAGUACACUUCAUUUAUGUAAAAACUGAAUAUGAUUGUUGUGCUAUACAAAAUGUGCUUUUCUCAAUUUCGGGUCAGCAAUGGUAAGUAGAUUGUGUUUCUUUAUGUAUAAUUUUGUAUACAUAUUGUUUUUUUCAUCAUAGCAUGUUUUUCAUAUUUAUGCUUUGUGUAAGUAAAAUGUUCAUAAAUCAUUCUUAUCUUAAAACUAAAAAUGUAUUGUGCUAUGCAAAAUGUCUGUAUGAUUUCAGUUGCCAGAGGUGAGUACCAUUACAGUUGAAAAGUUAGUUUUGUUUAGUUCAAGUUUUGGUUCACAGUUCUGUUUGUUAUUUGGCAAAAUUUACAUGUAUGCAUUGAGUCUUGAUUUUAGCUCGAUUGUGGACUGAAGAAGAUUGUCCGCAGAGGGAUUGGAUACAAAAUACAAAGUAAGUACUGAGUUUCUUACUAAAAGUUUUGAGUUGUAUUCAUUGUGUGUUAAUAUGCUAUGAUUGCUAUGAACAUGACUUUUGUAUUUCAGCGAAGACAACAUAGGUAAGUAAAAUUGUUAUCUGUUUCAUGUUUACUGUUACAGUUCAAUAUUGUGUUUAUAAAUUGUAAGUUGUACAAACACAUUCAAAAGUUUCUGAUCAUGCUUUCGAUUUCAUUUCAGCUUUACUGCUGGACGAGUGUUCUCUACUACUAGACGUGUCAGGUUUACUACCAGGCGAGCAGUGACAACAAGGCGCCUUUGUGGAAACAACACAACAAAAAACUGUACUGCUAGACGAGCAGUGACAGAAAGGCGCCUGAACAUGCAACACAAAACAAAAAAUGCCAAUAUCCAAACCUUGAUGUGGACACCGAGUAGUCAAUACAUACGUGUGGCGUAUAGCUGCGACAAAACCGUGGGUCCAUCGCACCGAUAACUUGAACAUUGGCCCGUGUAUGGACAUCAGUGCAACUUUGUGAAUCCAUGUAACUUUGUGAAUCCAUGUAACAUUGCGAAUGUGUGUCGAUCGAAAAAUGUGUACAUUCUGCACUGAAACGAACUCGGUGUUGCAAGUGGCAAGUGUUGACAGUGUGUAUGUUUAUGUUUAUGUUUUUACAUGCAAAAUAAAGGAGAUUGUUGUUUUAUUGUGCUGGCCAGCAAUAUUGAUGUAUUGAUGUAUGUGUUUGUGUUUAAACUAUGCAAUACCAAAAUCAAACAAAAAAUAAACAUUAACAGUCAUUAACUGUGUUUGGGCGGCCGAGGGGUUUAAGACUCCACAAGUGUGAAGCGCACUGAUAGCACUUGGGGGUAAACACCUCGGUAUUUCGGUGCUAAAAUGUUUUCACGGUGCUUAUUUUGACGCACUGUUAGAACUACCAACCAGUAAAUGAUUGCUUGAUUUAUAAAACAAAUAUUCAGUCUCUACUUUGGCACAAGAGACUCUAAGUAUCAAAUACCAACAAUUUAGACGCAGACAAUCACAUGGUGGUACACCAGUCCGAAUAUACUCAUUGCUCUAGCCAGGAUUGCAAAUUACUUGUGUUGACUAGCAAGGCUCCCUAGUAACGGAGCAGUGUUACUGGCGUUUUUUGGGUCGAUAGUGCUUAGGUGAGGUUUUGCUCGAAUCGGGAGCGGGUCACUCGCUUGGGCGAGUUAGUUUUCGCUCGUAGUUUCCAAUCUGGCUAGAUCAAUGUAAGGUUGUCGUUGACUGCUAUUUGGCAAGCAGAAAGACAACAGCGGUUAAUUAACUGAGUAUGGGCGACCGAGGUAUGUAGGUGUCAAUAGACCGACUCCACAAGUUGCGAAGCGAACCGAUAGCACUUGAGGGGAAACGCCUCGGUUUUCGGUUCUAACAUGUGUUAUCCAUGCUGUCGUUAUACUCUGGCAAGGCUCCUCAAUCUAUCGCGAGGGACACUCAUUAUUGCCCGCAAGCUUUAGAACCUGACGUGGGUCGAUGCGUAUGCGAGUCCGAGGACGCGAUGGCAUUUGAUAAGGCUACCAACCAGUUAAUGAUUGCAUGAUCUAUAAAACCAAAUUUUAAGUCUACUUGGGCACAAGAGAUUCCAAGUACCAAAAUACCAACAAUUAACAAGCAGACGCUUUUCAAAACUAUGACCGCUGAGAUUGAUAGUCAGAUGGAGUCCUGCCCAUUUAGCUGUGUAGCGGUCUAGGGCGGGGUUGCAAGUCAAUACGAAAUGAGGCGCUAUAAAGCAACUCGUCCCCGUUAUGACCGUCAAUACUUUCGACACUAUCUGGGAAUCCUUUCAACACCACAUUGUUGCGCUGUUGGAAGGGUGGUAGGCACGCAUGGUGACAUGCCUGUGCUUUGCUAUGCGACACCAUGGUAUUUUCGUACGGUGACACGAAAUAUCUUAAUCUGGCUCUCUCAGAAACGCAGGCACGCGUUGACCGAACCUGACCGAUGACCGAGCAAUAACAUUUCUAUUAAGUGCUUUAAUGCACAAAGUCUGCUAGGGCUGGGGUGGGAAGGCGACUUCUCUUGUACUCAGACAAGAGGAACGGUCACAAGUCCGUGAAAACGCCGAGUGACACCACUAGCUUUUAACCCAUUUUAUUCGGGAUACGGUUUCAUUCGUAUCGCCCUGACAUAAGUUUAUCAAAAAUAAAUAUAUAAGCAAACAAA